CAUACCCAUUAGCCAAUCACCCAUCCCCUCGUCCCUCCCUCUCAUUAUAUAUAAGGGUCUGAUGACUUCUGUUUCAGUGUAUCUGAAGAAGUGUGCAUGCACACGAAAGCUUAUACCUAAAACUAUUCAGUUGGUCUCUAAGGUGCUACAUUAUAAUUUUUUAAUUCUUUUGGAAGGAUUCUUUUAAAGACUUUCUUAGAUCGUAUAACUUUUUUGAAGACUGGAUUCUUUUGAGGGAGUUUUUAGGUUUUUAAGAAGAGUCUUUUUAACUAUCUUUUAAAAAAAUGCUUUAAUUUAUUUUGACUACGGCAGACCAACACGGCUACCUACUUGAAUCUAUAUAUUUCCCGACAGCUGUCAAGAUCUAUUCUCUUGCGGAGUCUCAGGGCAAGAGAUGAAAGCUUCUGUAACUUUCCUAAAUCUAUUUCUUCAUUUUUAAAGCCAAGGUCAUCCAGGGAAACACAUGAUCUUCCCCUUCUCCUCUCUCAAAACCAGAAUAAGGCAGAAAAGGCAAUCGAGAUGACAUUAUCGUCGGCUGCUUCUCCUGUUUCCCAUUUCAGGCCUUAAAGCAGCCGUCCUUUUGCCAUUAGUCAACCCCUCUAGUUAGUUAACUGGCGUGACUCAAAACCGCAUCGGACAAGACAGCCUCCAGGUAAGAUAUUGCAAGGUCUAAGCUUGGCAUGUACACUUAAGAACAGAAAUAUUCAGCCCGUUCCUUUAAAUAGUAUCCUUGACUCUUUUGAAAGCCACGGAGAUUGAUAGCAUGAGUGUAGGAAACAAGAAGCAUCUAUCAUUUGAUUCUCCGGCAGCUGGCGGUGCAACGGGCACAGCUUUCAAACACUGUGAAGAGAGGUUUCAAUUCUACAGCGCUGGAAACCAGCCAGCACAGUUUGCUUGCUGAUAUGCAAAAGAACAAACAAAAGAACAAACUGCCCCCCAUCCUCCAACAAAUGGUUAGCUCAGUUGGUUAGAGCCUGAUGCUGAUAACGCCAAGGUUGCAGGUUUGAUCCCCAUAUGGAACAGCUGCAUAUUCCUGCAUUGCAGGGGUUUGGACUAGAUGAUCUGGAGGGUCCCUUUUAGCGCCACAAUUAUAGUAUCCUCUAUAGUACAAGAUAACUACAAUUUUUGGGUUUCCCUUGAUGCUCCACAACCGGUUAGGACUCAAGAGAGGCAGAUUAUGCAAACAGCAUAUCACAUGACAAAACUGUGCCAGGAUUGUAUCAUUCCAUAAAGCCCAUUUCUAGUACCUGGAGUCCUUCCCCUGUUUUUUUGCAUGUAUUUAGAUAUGUCCAGGGACGCGGGUGGUGCUGUGGGUUAAACCACAGAGCCUAGGACUUGCCAAUCAGAAGGUCGGUGGUUCAAAUCCCCGCGACGGGGUGAGCUCCUAUUGCUUGGUCCCUGCUCCUGCCAAACUAGCAGUUCAAAAGCACGUCAAAGUGCAAGUAGAUAAAUAGGUACCACUCCAGCAGGAAGGUAAACGGUGUUUCUGUGUGCUGCUCUGGUUAGCCAGAAGUGGCUUAGUCAUGCUGGCUACAUGACCCGGAAGCUGUAUGCCGGCUCCCUCGGCCAAUAAAGCGAGAUGAGCGCUGCAACCCCAGAGUCGGCCACAACUGGACCUAAUGGUCAGGGGUCUCUUUACCUUUACCUUUAGAUAUAUCCAGAGCAGAACUACCUCUGCUUAGAUAUGUGUUAUACACGUGAAGGUUAGAAAAAACGAUAAAUGCAAUAUGUUUUCUUGUAUGCCAUAGAUGCUAGAAUUGCUAGCAGGUUCCUAAAAGCAAAUGCUUGAGAACCUCAAGGUCUCCUUGUGACACCGGUACUGUAUUUGCUUCUAAUGAUUUUCCUUCUUCCCGCUUGUUUAUCGCUUCUGUCCAUCUGUCCAAAUUUCAUUCUGGCAGCAGUUGUCUGUGCCUCUCACCUGUUCCCAAUACUGUCUUUGAGCAACCAGACUAACCAGUUCAAGAUAUUAUUAUUUUUAAAGGAUUGUAUCAUUCCAGAACUGCAGGUGUUGGAAAAUCACCUGGUUGAAUGUUCACCUGUAUUCAAAGCAAAGUGAAACAAAAAUCUCUGGAAAACUGCGGUCACAAUCAGGAUGAUGUUAAGCCUGUAAAGCAGAAACAAUAGAAUCUUCAGACCUCCAGAUGGUGCUGAACGAAAGGUUGCUUGAGCAGCAGCCAUGCUGGCAGUGGCUGAUGGGAGUUGAGAAGCCAUUAACAGCUGGAGGUCCAUGGGUUCGCCCCAUCCCUAACAUAGGAACCUCAUUGAUUUCAGUGAGAGAGUUAAACAAUAUGUUUAGAUGCUGAUCUUGGACUGAAAGGAGGAAGGGUGAGGCUCCAAGAUCAAAGCUGCAACAGGUGCUUUUCAACUUACAACACGGGACAGUGGAUGAUCGUACAACUAUGUCCCCAUUCCAAUAUUGUGUUUCUCCGCUAGUGCAAUGACUCACACAUUUGGCCAGUGACUCAUGGACCUGGAGGGUCAAAAAUGCACAAAUCUGCAGCUUACAUACAUGAAUUGCUAAGGCCAGCAUGUAGAUAGCCUGUUGGAAAGUGCUAGAUCCAGGUGUAUUUUGGCACAAUCUCUCGCCACCUUGCAGCUGCCCAUCGCUGUUUCAAUCCAGACAUCCGUCUCCCAUUUUGACUUUGGUGCGGCUGGAGACAGCUUAAAUGUUUCGAGGAUGACAGUCAUCCUGGCUCAGCUGGCGCUUAAUUGAGAUAAUGACGCAGCCCCAUCCCAGCUACGCAGAAAUAACCACCCUGCCAUUCUCAUUUGAAGGAGAAUUGUGAUUAAGCGGUUCUGAGGGAAUGAAACGGCCCAUGAAACGCCCGAGGAAAAUAAACCCAGAAUGAGAAACACAUUCUCAGCUAUACGCCACAUGUCGUUGUUGGGGGGGAAAUCCAACACACUGUGAGUUCCUGCCAGAGAUAGAGGACAUUUUCUGGCCCGAGGGCCAUAUUCCUUUCUAAGUAACCUUCCAGGGGCCACUUGGGGAUGGGUGGAGCCAGAAGCAAAAGUGGGUGGGACCCUUAAUGCAAUUUUUUUUUAACCUUUGUACGGUUGGCUAGUUUCUACACAAGCUCACACACCCCUCUCUCUAUCUUCUAUCUCAAUGUGCAAGUGGCGUUAUUGGAGCCCAAGGACACAUUCCAGCCAGGAGGGGCAUUCGUUUCAAUAAGCCUGCUUUGCGAAGCAUUGUGCACAUGCCACCGCCACUUGCGAUAUAUGCUCUGUUAAUGCGCAGGCAGAAGUAACAGCUAUGGCUUCGCAGCCCACAGUGACACACCACACUGUGGAGAUAAUUAUAUCACGCGUGCUGCCGACGAUUGCUCCUUUAAAGCUCUUUAAUGCAAAGGCGCCAGCGCUUCAUAAUUGAGCACAAAUUAGGAGUCUGGUUUCUCUGUUGGGCUUGCUGUUUGGGGGGUGAUUUUGCAGCUUCCAAGGCGGCUGCUAAUGAGGAGGCUGCAGCCUCAGCUCACGGCUGCCUUUGGCGGCAGGGCAGCCUCAUCUCUGGAUUUCACACGGCCGGAGGUGAAAACAAGCUUCGCUUGUCAAGGUUCUGUGUGUGCAGUGGUGCCAAGGGACCCAUUGGGUCUCUUGUGGGGAGCCCCCCUUUCUACGGAAUGCAUUAUUCUCACUAUGGCAUCAACACUAGCAUUAAUGUAGCACUACUGAAAUAUACUUUUGAAUUCUGGUGCUGGAGGGGACUUGAGAGUCCCAUGGACUGCAAGAAGAUCAAACUUAUCCAUUCUUAAGGAAAUCAGCCCUGAGUGCUCACUGGAAGGACAGAUCGUGAAGCUGAGGCUCCCAGUAGUGAUGUAUGGAAGUGAAAGCUGGACCAUAAAGAAGGCUGAUCGCUGAAGAAUUGAUGCUUUUGAAUUAUGGUGCUGGAGGAGACUCUUGAGAGUCCCAUGGACUGCAAGAAGAACAAACCUCUCCAUUCUUAAGGAAAUCAGCCCUGAGUGCUCACUGGAAGGACAGAUCGUGAAGCUGAGGCUCCAAUACUUUGGCCACCUCAUGAGAAGAGAAGACUCCCUGGAAAAGACCCUGAUGCUGGGAAAGAUGGAGGGCACAAGGAGAAGGGGACGACAGAGGAGGAGAUGGUUGGACAGUGUUCUCGAAGCUACCAGCAUGAGUUUGACCAAAUUGCGGGAGGCAGUGGAAGACAGAAGUGCCUGGCGUGCUCUGGUCCAUGGGAUCACGAAGAGUCAGACAUGACUAAACGACUAAACAAUAUCAACACUGAAAUAUACAGCACCUUCCAGCAUGUUAAGCAUCUAGGAGGGAUGGGCAGGGGGAGACAAGGGGUAUUAGGGAAAGAAGGGAGAGGCAAGGGUCAAAUAAAUGGCUGUACGCAGGUAUUUGGGCGGCAGGCAGGGAACCGUAAGAGUGAAACAAAUGUUUUGCACACAGAAAGGUCAGUGUUCAAUCCAGGAAUAAGAAUAAGUCACAUUUGGUACUCGGCCAACAAAGAGUGGAAUAAUAAUAAUAAUAAUAAUAAUAAUAAUUAAUAAUAAUGUUAUUAUUUAUACCCCACCCAUCUGACUGGGUUGCCCCAGCCGCUCUGGUCAGCUUCUAACAUAUAUAAAAACAUAAUAAAUAAUAUAAAAACAUUCCAUAUUAAAAGGUUUCUCUAUACAGGGCUGCCUUCAGAUGUCUUCUAAAAGUUAAACACACACACACACCCUUGUGAAAUGUUGGGAUGAAUCCUAGUUCAAAGUUAGGCCCAGCUCGAAGGAGCCUGGAGAAGCUGGCUCAAAUUAAGCUUUUGAAACAGGCUAGUUCACAGUUCAAGCUCCCCUCAUUCAACCCUUCACCCUAUUUCCACUAGUCUGUAACUAUUCUUGAGGCCACUUACCGUUCUAGGAUUUUAUUGCCUUGGGGAAGACAGAUGAUGUAGAACAAAAGGAAGCACAUGCCAUUUCUGUGUGGUCUUCACAUCAAUCUGUCGCUUUAGAGAAGGGCCCAAAAUUCAUCCUCGAAAUGCAACGGUAUGAAUUGUGCUUGGAGUUUGGCCGGGAGCUUUGCCGCACUCUGCCCUCAAAUUUCUAGGUAACCUUCAUCCUGUGUGAAAGAAGCCCUUGCGUUUUAUUUUUCUUUCUCAGGAUGCUUGAGGAAAACUAUUUCAUUUGACUUUUUAUUGCAUUUAUUGUCAGUUUGCAUUUCUUGGUGCAGAAAGUAUUGAUCUGAUGUGUAGAGAUCUUUCCUAUUCUAAUGAAUUCAGGAGGGUUCUGGAAGCUUCUCUGUGUGAAAGAAAAAAGCAGAAGGCUCCUGGUGUUUGGGUUAUACCUUCAGAGAAGCUGAGUACAAUGGCUUAAACUGAUUCUGUUAUCUCUUUCUGUCAAGGUCAUGCUGAGUAUAACUGUAGGACCAGAAGGAGCCUGCGUUUCACUUUUACUUUCUAUCUCUUUUCCUUCUGGUGUGGUGUUCUGUACCUAGUAUGCUUAGCGCUAAGGUUUUAGUUAUGGCAAGCUUAAGUCAAGUCUGCUGCAACUGAAUUUCUUAUGGACAAUGCCAAUCCUGAAUGUAUUGGAUUUGUGGCCAUUAUGCUCAUUUGCGCAGACAGGCAGAAACCCCCUGACCCUGGGCGACACCCGCGUGGAAUAAUGGCUCAAGACAACGUUUUAUGGGAUUAAAAUUUGGCCACAACUUUAUUAAUACUUCAGAUGUAGGGAGACCUUGGCUUAGGCAUUGGGCGUUUAUCCCUCCCAGUCCCCGGCCGGGGAUCUGGGGAACAUCAGCAUUAUCCAGAAUAUGUGGGGAUUGGGCUGGCUCUGGAGAAUGUCUGUGUGGCGUUUGCCCGUUCGUUUAGAAACUGUCUGUACAGGGGGGAGAGAAAGGGUUAAAAAUGUAGACCAAUAGAGAAGCUGGAGGUGGAGCCUAUCCGUUUAUAAAAGGCCUUAGCCCGAGGUUUGAGUUAGUUGUUGGUGGGUAGUUGGUUGGUUUUAGUGGGUUGGCUGGUUGGGAAAGGCAGUUGGAAAAGCAGUUGGCAGGCAGUUGGAAAGAGAGAGACAGUUAGUGCAGUGGGUUCUUGAGUGAGGGGAGGUAGAAGAGAUAGAGAGACGAUAAAAUAAGACUAAGAAGGUAAAGAGUAACAACGUUUGGAAUGCAGUUAAAGUUUGUGUCUACAAUAAACUACACUCUUCUUUGUUCAGGGAAGUUUUUAAUAUUUAACGCUGUACUGUUUUUAACAUUUGAUUGGGAGCCGCCCAGAGUGGCUGGGGAAACUCAGCCAGAUUAUUAUUAUUAUUAUUAUUAUUAUUAUGAUGUUGUGGGUUGACAUAGCAGACGACACAGCGAUUUCUCCAAAGCAGCUCUUUAUUUUGUAAGCUGGAACAGAACUAAGCUGAGGAGCUCAGUCAGCCUGCUUAUAUAGAGCUCCAGAACAAUGUAACUGUUGCCAUUUUCUAAAACUAUCCAAUAACUGAACGUCACUUUUCGAUCCUUCAUUUGCAUACAAAACGAUCCAAUCACUGAAUGUCACUUUUCGAUCCUUCAUUUGCAUAACUAUCUACAGUAUCCCCCUGCUGGCCCAGGGUGAGAACUUCAGUACAUAACACCCCUCCCCACCGAGAUAAGGCGUUAGUUACAAUCGUAAUGGUUCAAUUAGGCACAAAAGCAUAUCGGUUACAUUUCCCAUACUUAGACCAACAGUGAUACAUGUCCAACAACAUAGUCCUUUAAAUAAGUUGGGCGCUUGGAAACUCUGCCAGACCGCCGGGGACCGGUAGCCAAGUCCAGGGGGCCACACAAUUCUUGCUGAGGCUGUGGUGCGACCCUAGGUUGAAACCAAAUCCCCUGGAUCUGCUGCUGUGGGUGGAGCCUCCGAAAGUGGAGUCUCCGCAAGUCUGAGCCUGUGGUAAGUCUGGCAGACCCUCUGAAGCGGCUUGGUUCGGCUCCACCCUGGCAGUUUGCGAGGGAGGUGUAGGUGGAGCCUCGCCAUCUGUAAGUGUCUCUUCUGGAGCCACGAGCGCAGUUGGGGGCACCACGGCAGUGUCCAAGUCCCCAACCCUGCACCUAAGCUGGUCUAUGUGCCGGCGCCACAAGCAUCCAUCUUCAAGUGCCACCUGGUACAAGCGAGGUCCAGUGACUCCCACUACUGUGGCUGGCACCCAAGGAAUGUCCCCCACAUAGUUCCGGGCAAAGACCUGAACGUCACUUUUCGAUCCUUCAUUUGCAUAACUAUCUACAGUAUCCCCCUGCUGGCCCAGGGUGAGAACUUCAGUACAUAACAAUUAUUGUUAUUUGUUACCUUGAGAACCUGACUGAGACUAGGUGAUUUUACUAGGGAGGACCUAGUUGAUGGCAGCGGAUUAGUGGUGUACUGGUCAAUAGUCCGUGAGACGACCGGGGGCUUCGUACGAACGCCACAGUCUGUUCAAGCAGAGAGCCCACCCCCUGUUUUGCCACCAUCGCAGGGGUGCAAUGACAACCUAAUGGCCUGUGGCCAAUGCCUCCCCUCAAAACAACCCCUUUAAUGGGGAACCCUGGGAUCACCGCUUCAGGGGAGGCGUGGGUCAUGCCCCCCCCCAUUUAGGGAAGAUAGACUAAAGGAUUCCGCCCAUGGCCUGAAACCGCCAAAGUUGUGACAUUUUGCUACAGGGAAGGCAAAACCUGCCAAUGCAGGAAAAUUCCUUUCCGGCCCUUCAACAGUGACCAUAGCAUAGCAGCACCUGCGCACCUGUGAUGAAGAGGUUAACCUGCAAAAGAAGGCUUAACUAAGGGAGGGCAGGGUGGGAGAAGCUCUGAAGCCGACUGAGAACUCCCAGGUAAGUUCCGCCCACUGUUGUGUGGGCUGGUCAAUCCCUCCCCUUACCUGGCCAACUCUCUCCUGGCAACGCCCCCCACCCAGCUGGGAUUGGGUAACUGGCAGAGGUAGGUGGCUACCUUCAGGUGUCCAGCCUGGAGGGGGGGCAUAUCCAGGCUGUACGGCCAGGAGCCGCAUGGGAUUGGGGGGGGGCUGCGUGCGGCCGCACAAAAGGCACCCCCCAUUUGAUGUGAGGAACAGUCAUUGCCUUCAGUAGCAGCAAAGCUCUACUGGAUGAAAUACAAUUGCCUCUGGUCUAUUUUUUGGGAAUCCUGCAACGUGUUUAAAUUCUUACUCUGCUAACUAGACGCUGGAAUCUGUUGACAUUUCUAUUCCACCUUAAGGAGCAGAUGUGUGGAACUGUUGCGUGUCACAUGUCUGUUUACAUUUCAGCACAGCUUGCUGGGAACUUCCGCUGUGUAUCGCUUUUGCUUUUCCUGUUCUCUCUGAGACGGCGAGAGAGAGAUGACAUGUUUCUUUGUCCUGAUUUAUGAUUAAUCUGUAGUUGUAGUAUGCUUCCACAAGCCUCACGCCUAUUCUGUGUGUGCAGUUUACUCUGCUGAUAGCAUGCCCUGGCUUUGAAGCCCGGGUCACUGAUUUAUGUCGGACCAGAUGCCGAUGGUCUUCGAAGUGGGAAGACUGGGAGGAGACAGCCCAGUUGAGGCUUGCCAGCUGGCCUCCCGGUCCUCUCAUGCUGACAGAAUCUGCUCUGGAUCAAUAUUGAGUAGAAUUUCAAUGACAUUUCUAUCCCUCCUCUCCUCCAGGGAGCUCAAGGGGGUGUUCAUGGUCCCCCCUCUUCUCAUUUUGGCGUUGAAGUGACCCUGUGAGGUAGGUUAGGCUGGGAGAGAGUGGUUGGCUCAAGCACACCCAGUGCGAGCUUUGUGACUGAGCAGGGAUUUGAACCCAGAUCUCACCAGUCCUAAUAACCACUACACCCCCACUGGUUCCACAUUUACUGGCAUUUGCCACUAAAUGCAGUGGCCAAGGGGUGUUCACAGGUGAUUGUCCUCUUCCAGGAUUGGUCCAGCUCAAGGAUUUUGUCCAGCUCAAGGACCAAAUGUAGCUCCUCAGGCCCCUCUGUCUGGCUGUAGCUCAGGGUUAGAGCAUCUGCUUUGUGUGCAGAAGGUUCCAGGUUCAAUCCCCGGUAUCUCCAGGUUAGUCUGGGAAAGUUCCUGGAGAGCCACUGGGAGCCAGUGUAGACAACCCUGAGCUAGAUGGAGCAAUGGUCUGAUUCAGUAUAAGGCAACUUCCCACGUUCUGGUCAUUUAUUUACUGAUUUCCUCCCAAACAACUGCCUCAAUGUGACGUGCACUUAAAGAUAAUUUUUAUAAAACUUAAAAGCACGGAAACAGCAAAUGCAUUUAAAAGAAAACAAAAACGAUGGCUCCCCUUCCCUUCCCUUCCCAUGAGAACUUCAGCAAAGUUUAUCCCACUCCGUGAUCAUUUCUGAAUGCAAUUUCUUUUCUCAUUAACGGACGGAAAACGGAUUUAAAACAAACAAACCCAGGAGAAAUGUUCUGCAUAACGCUGGUUGAAUUUGCAAAUUACCUCCUCUGCCUACCUUGGAGGAUGUAAGAGAAACGGCAGACAUCAGUUUUCAUGUUUAAAAAUACAAAGAUAUAAUUUUCCCUAUGACACUGAAAACACCCUAAACGCUCAAAUUAUAGAUUUGCUCUUCAGACACCAUUUGUUUUUUUAAAUAAUAAUGUUUAUUUAAUUUCCCAAUAUUUACCCAAUAUUACCACAGUUUUGCCAAUUAUACCAAUUCCAAAUUUAUACAAUUUAAUCAAAGUGGUUUCCUGUGCUCCUUGAUCAGUGUUUUUGUCCAAUUCUUAUAUUGCUGCGGUUCAUAUUUUCCAUUAACAUCCAAUUACAUUUCAGUUGGUAUAUUAAUCAUUAAGAUAACAGACGCAUUUUUAGCGAUUACUGUUUGUGUUAAUACCUGAUCUAACUUUCCAUAGGAUUUCAAAUGAGGUGCUCUAAUUAUUUUCCUUUUCUCUGCAUGUGUCAGUCUGAAUAUGUCCAAUUAUAAAGUCCUUGGCCUUUGUCUGCUGUCCAAUUCUUGAAAUUCCUUCAAUUGCUGUUGUCUCUCAGCGUAUCUGCGGUGGUGCUGUAAUCCUGGAGAAUUAUCAGAAUGUCUCAUUAGCUGCCUUCCAUCGUGUUCUCAUCUUGUUCGGUGUUUCCAGACAAUGACAUACUCCAACAGCCCGCUCUUUCUCACUGCUCAGUCAACAUCUAGAAAUUUCCACAGCCCAGGAAAGAGGGAUCCAGCUUCCGCCGCAGGGGAUCUUGUAGUACUUUCAUUUUAAUUCAUCACCAUCAAAGUCUCCAUGCCUCCCCUCGUCCACGGCUCCAAAUUCUUUUCAUCUUUAUGACUGCAUUUUGGCCAAAGUCCACUUCAGUUAUAUCUCUUCUUUGUUGUUGUUUUUUUGGAGGUAGAGAUGGUAUCCGCUCUAAUUUUCCAAGAUAACCCAUUCCAACAUUAGAGCUCUCCCCCCACCAUACCAUCUCUUUAAACCACACACAGCUAACUGUUCUUUUAAUCACAAAUUUUAUUCCACACUGCAGUCCAACCUCAUUUUGUAUCUUUAGAAUUUUGCAUCUGGAGAGAGUUGCCAAAUCAUUAACAAAGAAACUCAAAUAAACAGGAAACGGGAGGCUCCCCCCCUCUGCAGGGCCAGAUUUAGGUUUGAUGAGGCCCUAAGCUACUGGAGGUACAGGGGCCCUUUAUAUCUCCAGCUGUCCUUUGUCAACAACAGAUUGUCACUGUUUUUUGUGUUGAAUAUAUGCUAUAGGGUAAUUUAUAGACCUAAUAGGUAUCUAAAGCCAUUUGCACACAACAAAUAGGAGCCUACAGAACACAAAACACUGUUGCUGUAUGUAGGUUUUAUUUUAUUUGUUUUUUCUUAUAUUUUGGAAAUGUACGUCCAGUGGUUUUUUUCCUUUAAUUUUUUUGGGUGCCCUAAGAGAGUGGGGCCCUAAGCUAUAGCUUGUUUAGCUUAUACGUAAAUCCGGCACUACCCUUCCGCCAGCCACUGCCCAUACCGAAUAAAAUCUUUUUUCAGAUCAAUGCAGAUGGAUAAUUCCACAGUUCUGAUGACAACAUCUUCUCUCAGAGCGUGCCUGACUUUAAAGCCAGUUAAAAACCUACUGUAAUUGACAGGAGAACCUCUGAUUCUUAAUGGUGGCAUAGGAGGGUUUUUGACAGGCGAAGUGCUUUUGCACUCAGCGCCUCUCUGCCCCCUGCAUUCCAUGCCGGAGCGAAAGCCAAGUACUGAGACGGACAUCGAAUGAAGAUUUCUCCCUUCCCAGGGAGGAAUUUCCAAGAAUGUUUUACCCUCUAUCAUUCUUGUUUUUCUCCGCCUUCGAUCCCCGCGAUGUCGUGGGAGCUGCCUCCAUUAAGGCAGAUAGGAACUAGAAACCUCUUCAGACACAAUCUGUGCCGUCUUUUCUCACUUGCAGUCUAGGGUAACCAUUCUCAGCACAGAGUUUGAUAACAUAUAUUAUAACCGCUAAUAGCCACCAAACACAAUAAAUCCCCUUUUCCUGUCAGUGCUUGAAGGCUGAGUAAUUUUUCUUGCUGCAAAAGGAAGAAGAAAAGCUUGUCAUGCUGUGCGCUUUGGAGAGCGUUCCAAAAGGCUCAAGAUGACAGUGGAGUUUUGUUUGGGGAUUUUUAAGAAAUAGAACUGCCACUCUGGGGUGAGGAUUCUGAAAACAGACUGCAAAACUUCAGGACAGGCUAUGAUUAUUCAGCUCCUUUCUGGCUGAUUCAGAUAGCCAUGCAGUUGAGAGUAAACCUUGCAUCUCAACACAAGGAUGGGGAUAAUUCAGAUUAGAAAUGGCUUCUUGCCCUGAAAAUGAAUUGGGGAGGGCGGGCUCAAAUAGUUCAUUCAAACAUUCAAAAUCCUUGGGCAUUUUCUCCUGGGGAAGAGGGGAAUUGUUGGUCAAGCCCAGGUGGAAGCGAAUGUUGUUAUUGCACUCACAAACCUCUUUCAGUGCAGCACCUUUUUAAUCUAUACAUUAUGAUCACUGCAGAUGGUGACAGCAGCCAUGAAAUUAAAAGACGCCUGCUCCUUGGGAGGAAGGCGAUGGCAAACCUAGACAGCAUCUUAAAAAGCAGAGACAUCACCUUGCCAACAAAGGUCUGUAUAGUAAAAGCUAUGGUUUUCCCAGUAGUGAUGUAUGGAAGUGAAAGCUGGACCAUAAAGAAGGCUGGUCGCCGAAGAAUUGAUGCUUUUGAAUUAUGGUGCUGGAGGAGACUCUUGAGAGUCCCGUGGACUGCAAGAAGAUCAAACCUCUCCAUUCUUAAGGAAAUCAGCCCUGAGUGCUCACUGGAAGGACAGAUCGUGAAGCUGAGGCUCCAAUACUUUGGCCACCUCAUGAGAAGAGAAGACCCCUGGAAAAGACCCUGAUGCUGGGAAAGAUGGAGGGCACAAGGAGAAGGGGACGACAGAGGACGAGAUGGUUGGACAGUGUUCUUGAAGCUACCAGCAUGAGUUUGACCAAACUGUGGGAGGCAGUGGAAGACAGAAGUGCCUGGCGUGCUCUGGUCCAUGGGGUCACGAAGAGUCGGACACGACUAAACAACUAAACAACAACAACAUUAGGGUUUUCACAUUCUUACAAUAGAGCAAUAUGGUCCCUUAUUCCCCCUUUUUCCUUCAUAGCUUCCAUCCCUCCCUCCAAGCUGAUGCCCUCUUUUUUUCAGUUAUAGCAUUUUCAUCUCUGGCCUUCAGUUGCUUAGAAUUUGCAUUUAUAGAACUGGAAAACAGAUGUAAUACCUACCAUUAUGGAAUGACAGGCUAAGAUGAUGACUUAUGCGGAACUGGCUAAAUUAUCAGGAAAAAUACGAGACCAGGAUGAACAGAAGUUUCAAGAAAACUGGAGUAAAUAUUUGAUGUACAUAAGAGACAGUUGUAAAACGUUAAAGACACUGGCAGGGUUGGAAUAACUCUCACAACGGGUGAUAAAAAUAAGUUAAUUAAAUAAAAUACGAAAUGUUAGAAAAUAUGAGAUACUUACCCGAAGGGGUGAAGGGAAGUCCAAAGCUCGGCAGAGCUAAAGAUAAUUAUGUGGUGUAUAUGUGUUAUGAAUGUAUUAUGAAUGUAUGCUCGAUGAAAAUAAUAAAAAUGUAUUGUGAAAAACCAACAAACAAACAAACAAAAAUAAAAAUGAAAAUAAAAUAUGGUAGGGGGACCCAGCUUAUGAAUUCCAGAGAAGGUAUAUUUCCAGUCAAGCUUUGCUCCUUUUUAAAAAAAAAACCACAAGUGUCUUCCAGCAAUAAAAUGCAAGGAUUCGAUAUUCCCCAGAAGAAUAAAAAAAAUAAAAAAAAUUGAAUUUGCAUUUAUAUGCCACCUUUUUUUAUAGCCUCCUUUCUGCCUCUGAUUGUACUUGCUUCCCUGAAUCAGGUUCUCAAAACAUAUGCUCCAGCCUCUGUCAACCUGGCAGCCUCCAAAUGUUUUAGACUACCACUUCCAUCAGCUCCAGUCACCACACACGCCCUUUCCUCUCCGUUUCCCCCUCGGCUCUUGGGAAGCUGUCAAAGAAUGAGCCGGCAUUAAAUCACACUGUUCCAAGUUGGAGUUAACACUUUAUUAGCAAAAGCACAAUCUCCACAGACUUGACUGAGUGUCAGGCCUAGUGAGCACAGCAGCCCAUCGCUGGCAGGUCAGUUGCUGAGACUGAAAGUCCCCACCUCCCCACAGUCAUCUAAGUCCUCUCCUCUUUUUCCAAGCAACCAGAAACUGCAGCUGUGUGCAACCAACCUCUCCUCUGCCCUUUUCAUGCAUCUUCUGGUUCUGGGAGACAAGCAGGGAGGGGAGCUUGUUGCAGCCAAAGGGGGAGACACUCGUGACUCUUCACCAGCCUGACUCCUCUCUGCCUCUUAGCCUCCCUCAUUCCACUCUCUGGUUUCGGUUUCUGCCUCUGAUUCUGGACUUCUCUCUGCCACGGACUCUCCCAGCUCACUAAGCCCUGUUACCUCCUCACUUUCCAACACCUCUUCUUCCCAAUCUUCUCCCUCUUCUCUCUCUGAUCGUUGUUGUUCCACCAUCACUUCUUGGGCUCUGAGUCUUCUUCCUUUGGCAGUUCCCCAGCUGGUUCCUCCCUGGCCUGGUGGAAUGCUCUGUCUCAUGAGACCAGGGCCCUGCAGGAUCUGAUUUCUUUCGUCAGGGCCUGUAAGACAGAAUUGUUCCCUCCCCUUCUUUCUUUUUUCCUUUCUCCUUCUCUGUUGGAACUCCUAUUUGGGGACCUCCCUGGCUUUUUUUCUGGCCCAUGUAGGACCAGUCUGGAUAGUUAGCCUUGGUGAAGACUUGAAAUCUUAUCCCCCAAAAAGUUUUUGAUUGAGUUUCCACUGAAAUGAGUCUGUAUUUUAAUGUUUUAAUGUUGUAUGUUAAUCUUGUUUUUUAAGCUGUAUUUCAAUCAAUUGUUUUUAUAUUUGGUGUUAGCCGCCCUAAACCGGGUCUUGGCUGGGGAGUGCGGGGUAUAAAUAAAAAUAAAAAUUAUUAUUAUUAUUCCUCUGUAUCCAACCAGUCAUGACAGAAGCUAGGUAAACAACCCUGCCCAGCUGUGAUCCUUCCUCACCUGAUCCUGAUCUUAAUCCUGGGGAGAUCAAAAUCUGGGGCUAUUCUGGCCUCACAUCCAGUAUCUCCCCAACCAGCAUUUCCCACACUGCUGUACGCCACCCCCACCCCCCAGUACUAGAAUCUAAAGUGUAAACAUUUUAUCUCAUUAAGCAUGGGUGACAUUAUAAUGAAUGAGGCCAUUAUAACUGAUGCCUGCCAUGCCUUAUUAAUUGCCUGCAGAUACACCGGUGCCACUUCAAUUUCACAGCUCCUAUCUGUACUGUGUUCACUUAAAUGCUGCCAUGUUAAACGCACCCCUGAUAAUUGUUCAUUUAUCUCGGCCCUGCGCUUCCAAGUUCAAAUCAUGGUCCGGAUAGUUUGUAACUGGCUGCCACGGACUGUCAAGCGUGUCGGGUUGACUGUGUUAAAUUCGUGGAUGCCAGCUUCAUUUAGGUUUGGAUGCAGGAACUGAAGGAAAAUAGGACUCACUGUAUACUGACUGAUAUUCAGUGCUACUUUCCUAGAAGAAAAAGGUGCCGGAACUCACCACGAACAGCUCCCUUGUUCUCUUAGAAUGUCAAUGGCACCACCUGAGAGGCGCCAGAACUAAGUUCUGGCGAGUUCCAGCUGGAAAACAAGCCUGAUGGUAUUGUUCCUGCUUAAUUGCCACCUUUCAACUCUUGGGAAAUCUGCCUUUCAUUGUACCUGCUUGCCAGAGUCAGAUUUCCAAAAUGUCUACUAUUUCACACUGCAGUUGUGGGUUGCCAUGACUAAAUGCUUACAGAGUGGCUGGGGAAACCCAGCAAGAUGGACAGGGUAUUAUUAUUAUUAUUAUUAUUACCUUUAAAAAAACCUUUGCACACUGGAAACUAAGGGUAGGCAGAGCCAGCGCUGCUCCCCUCUCUUCCCAAUAUGAGGGCUACUGCCCAUAACCAAGAGGAAGGGCGAGGUGGCAGAGAGUUCAGUGCAGUGCAAGCAGUUUGACUCAACCUCUAGUUGGCUGUGGGCAGUGACCUCCGUGUUGGAAAGCCAGGUAAGCAAUGCGGCCCCACUGCCCCACUGAAGGAAGGGUACAUUGGGACCCCUAGGCCAUGGUUUCUCCCGGAGCUGGCCCACCCACGAGGCAAGGUGAGGUGGCUGCCUCGGGCGGCAGGUUGUGGAGAGCUGGGAGGGGCAGCUGAUCUGCACCCGCUUCCCUCCAUUGUGUGUCACUACUAUUUGCUAGUAAAAAUGGGUGAGGGUGGCAUUUUGCUGGGAGGUGGGGAUCUCAAAUCACCCAACGGGUCAGGGUACAGCUGUGUGCAAAUGGCCUCCACUCUGUGCAGAGAAAUUGGUGGGGGAGGAGAGAAAGCAUUUCACCAAAUCGCUCCAGGUAGGGGAGGAAAUUUCCAACAGUUUAUUGAGGUGGUGCUCACCAUUAGCCUUCCCACACCAUGUUUUUCUCUCUCUCGCUUUUCUGCUGAUAAUGAUGUUGCAGGUGGCAGGAGCAACAACUACACUGGCAACCUUUACACCAUCUUGGGUCCUCCAUGAUGCUCAGCUAAUGCUUUUAUUCUAGAAAAAAAGUGCCAGUACUACCCAUGAUGCUGUUACAGUAAGUAAAGGUAAAGGGACCCCUGGCCAUUAGGUCCUGUCGUGGCCGACUCUGGGGUUGCGGUGCUCAUCUCGCUUUAUUGGCCGAGGGAGCCGGCAUACAGCUUCCGGGUCAUGUGGCCAGCAUGACUAAGCCGCUUCUGGCGAACCAGAGCAGCACACGGAAACGCCGUUUACCUUCCUCCAGAGUGGUACCUAUUUAUCUACUUGCCCUUUGAUGUGCUUUUGAACUGCUAGGUUGGCAGGAUCAGGGACUGAGCAACGGGAGCUCACCCCGUUGCGGGGCUUCAAACUGCCGACCUUCUGAUCGGCAAGUCCUAGGCUCUGUGGUUUAACCCACAGCACUACCCGCGUCCCUGUUACGGUAAGUACCACACUUUUAAACAGUGCUUUUCUUGCGGGGGGGAUGGUGCUGUUGCAGCAAACCCUCAAGUACCUACGGGGGGGGGGGGGAGCCCUGCUUGGGACCUAAGGUCAUUCCAGGGCUUAGCAAUGGUGAAAUGACUGCCUGUACCAAAAUAAGGAAUGGGGUGUGUGAUGAAAAUGUUCAGGAAAAAAUCUGCAAAUUGGCUGCUUUCCUCCUGGGAGAGCAAAAAAAAGCCCCUCAUACAUUCUCUCAAGUUUGUCUGCUGAGAAAUUUCAGCUCAACUCUAACUCGGGGGAAGCCUGAAAAAGAAAAUCUGCAGAAAUAAAUUAUUGGAAAAUAGUCUUUUGAGAAUUUUCAGCCUGUCUCUGUUGUUUCUCACCCAGCUAUGCAUCUCUGCUUACUGUUUAACGUAUUUCACUGCAAUUUAACCUUGGCCAGCAAAGAACAGCCAGAUUUUAAUUCCUAGGAUAACGCGAAGCAUUUACAGUAAUGUAAAUUGACUGAAGACGCUAUUUAACUGAAUCAUGACCACACAACUCAAACUCGCAUCAUUUUCAUGGCUGGUUCAAUAGCUCAUUACACCCCAGCGCUGGGAUGAAUAAACAGUAGCCCUCAAUCUCCUUUUGCUGAUGUCCUGGUAAGCAUCUCACAGUAGCAACCUAAUUCAAUUAGGGAGGUCUUCAUUCAAUAAAUAAAACAUUGACUGCUGCAACAGCUCUCAGAGCAGUGUGGAAUCCAUCAGCAUAUAACAUGCCGGCUGAUUAUACCAGAGAUUAGCUGGAGCCCUUAGAAAUGCCAGCAGACUCCCUGCGUCUUGCCUGUGACUUCCAACACGCAGUUCUGCAGGUUACAGCUCUUCUGAAAAGAUGCUGCAGUGUCGUGACACUGAACUGAAUCAGGUUUCUCUGAGAGAACAGUGAAGAAGGAGAGCUUUCCUUCCUUCUGCAAGCCUGAGAACGCACUUGCUCUGCCUCUGGAGGUCUACAUGUGGGUGCCAGGGGUGCCAACUUGAAUAAAAUAUUGUGGGGGCCCAGGUAAGCCCCGACCCACAUAAUCGAUCACAUGACACAUUGCACACACACACACCCAUUUGAAUGGGAAUGCCCAUCAACUUUGUGGGGGGCCCAGCCCCCUCAAAUAUUUUAUUGUGGGGGGGGCACGGCUCCUAGGAGUUGGCUCCUAUGGUGGGUGCAAUGAUUGCAGGAAUUCCUGUCUGCAGACAGCGAAUCCUGUCUCCCUCCUGUGGCCCUCCAGAGCCUGUUCGGCUCCCAUCAGCCCCAGCCAGCAUGGCCAAUGGUCAAGUAUGAUGAGCCCACCAACAUCUGCAGAGUUCCCCAUCCCUGCUCUAUUGUGUUUCCCCAAAAAUGCAGCUGGUGCAGGGAGCUCCCUCCUAGGAAGCACGCCUCUCUCAAAUGAAAAUCAAGAACUAGCUCCAAACCGUUUCCCUGCCCCCUUUCACUAGAGCACUAUUUCCCAAAUUUACAAUAACCCCUUUGAGAGUUUAGUCUUACUGGUGUACCCCUUCUCAGGCAAAGAUAAUUUGGGAGUCGUUUUAAUAAUGCUUCUUUUGUCUUUUGUCUGUGUGGUGUAGUGGUUAAGAGUGGUAGACUUGUAAUCUGGUGAACCAGGUUCGCGUCUCCGCUCCUCCACAUGCAGCUGCUGGGUGACCUUGGGCCAGUCACACUUCUCUGAAGUCUCUCAGCCCCACUCACCUCACAGAGUGUUUGUUGUGGGGGAGGAAGGGAAAGGAGAAUGUUAGCUGCUUUGAGACUCCUUUGGGUAGUGAUAAAGCGGGAUAUCAAAUCCAAACUCCUCCUCUUCUUCUCUUCUUCUUUGAAUUGUUUUCUGUCGCUAUGAGGAAAUGAAAUAAAAACUCUGCCUGUACCCUUUGAUGUACCCCUGAGGGUUAUGUGUACCAUAUUUUGGGAAGGUCUUCUCAAGAAGGAGGCCUUAUCUUGAAGUUAAAUUCACAUUUGCAGAAGCAUUGUGCAAUGCCCUUUUUAGGCUCUCUCUGUACCCUCUGUGUCAGACAAGUGACUCAAGCCAGGAGUAAGGUGGGGAAAUCGCCUUGAGCCCUGUUGGCAUUGGAAGACAUCUCUGUCUGCCAUUUCAAGUUUUGACUGGGAUAUCACAGAAUUGUAGAGUUGGAAGGGACCCUGAGGAUCAUCCAGUCCAAUGCAGGUAUAUGCAGCUGUCCCAUAUCAGGAUCGAACCCACAACCUUGCCAUUAUCAGCACCAUGCUCUAACCAACUGAGCUAUCCAUUUUUAUUACUACAGUCCCACUGUUCCUCCAAGGAGAUCAGCGAGGCGUAUUCGCUUCCCCCAACUCCGCCAUUUUAUCCUCAUGUUGGUGUUUCGCAACUUUGACCUGUUGCAGGACCUUAGCCAGAUCUUAUCAGAGAAUACACAGAGUUCCAGAAAGCAAUCAGUUGCAGGCAGGAUGGACAAAGCAGGAACCAGACGCUGCUACUAGUAACUCGGUUACUUAGAGGUGUUUGUUUUUUACAGGAGACUCUACAAGUUACUAUAUACAUGAACAGAUACACGGAUCUUUACUAGCUCUCUCUUAACAAACUCCAAGCGACUCUCAGAACACCACACUGACCAACAAACACAUUCCAGUCAGUAAGGUCAUAAAUCAUCAGGCCUGUGUGAGACUUCAACCAAUGGUAAAGCUGUUUCCAGGGUCCCAUAUCUCCAGGCAGAUAACUCCUCUCUGCUCAGUCAUCUUGGCUGCCGGCCAACACUUAAUUGACUCUGUGUGAAGCUGCACAGAAUGGCACGUAGUCAAAAAACGCCAACACACAACAACCCUGUGAGGUAGGUUAGACCGAGCAACAGUGACUGGCCUAAGGUCACCCAGUGGCUUAAUGGGGAUUUGAACCAUGGUCUCCCAGGUCUUAAUCCAGCACUCUAACCAGUACAUCACACUGGCUCACAAUUGUGCAUUUAGCGAUUGAAGAUGGUGUUUGCUUGGCAAUCACUGUGCCAAGAGGUGUGUAAGGGAUCAUGCAAAAUAAGCCCUGCUUUUUAAAAUACCCCUCAUUCACUUUUUUUAAAAGAAAGAGAUCCAAAUAAGUGAGACAAAUCAGAGAAGAAAAUACUGUGUUGCCCCCUAGAUGCAGUUUUUGAUUAUCGUAUAAGAAAUGCUGGGUUUCUUUAGCCAUGUUAUGUUGACUUCUUAAUAAAGCCCAGAGUAUGGCAAAUGAAUUGAUGAGAUCAUAAAGGCUACUUAUCCCUUUUGUCUCUCCCUGAGGUCUAGCCUGUUAUGUUUGCAUUGCACAAUUAACUCGAGCAACUCGCUCUCUUCCAAGCUGUUACAGCCCCUUCUAUUCUUACAGGCAACCGGAUUCAUGGCUUGGCUUAAUGCUCUGGAAACCAGGACCAUCUCUGCACCACCAUUCUGUCUUCUGGUCUGAAGCUGCUUUACUUCUCAUGACUUCCCGUCUUCCUCCUCCAUCACCAACCCCAGGGAGGUGUCAAGCUUCGGACACUGUUGCAAAUUAUUUCAAUUUCCCUAUUUCAGUUACAGAACUAGUUUCCAGAAUACCUCCUUGGGAGAACUAAAUGGGUUUGCAGCUGGUUUACAUAUGUAGCAUUGUUGUUUAGUCGUUUGGUCGUGUCCGACUCUUCGUGACCCCAUGGACCAGAGCACGCCAGGCACUCCUGUCUUCCACUGCCUCCUGCAGUUUGGUCAAACUCAUGCUGGUAGUUUCGAGAACACUGUCCAGCCAUCUCGUCCUCUGUCGUCCCCUUCUCCUUGUGCCCUCAGUCUUUCCCAACAUCAGGGUCUUUUUCAGGGAGUCUUCUCUUCUCAUGAGGUGGCCAACGUAGUGGAGCCUCAGCUUCACAAUCUGUCCUUCCAGUGAGCACUCAGGGCUGAUUUCCUUAAGAAUGGAGAGGUUUGAUCUUCUUGCAGUCCAUGGGACUCCCAAGAGUCUUCUCCAGCACCAUAACUCAAAAGCAUCAAUUCUUCGGCGACCAACCUUCUUUAUGGUCCAGCUCUCACUUCCAUACAUCACUACUGGGAAAACCAUAGCUUUUACUAUACGGACCUUUGUUGGCAAGGUGAUGUCUCUGCUUUUUAAGAUGCUGUCUAUUUUUUAAGAUUUGUAGCAUAGGUGUUUGGAAUUAAAUUAGACAUUUUGCAUGGCCUUUUUUUCCUUUGGACCACAGCUCCCAUCAUCUUUAAUGAUUGCCUAUGCCAGCUAGGGCUCAUAGGAGUUCUAGGUCAGCAGCAUCUAGAUGACCAAAACUUCCCCACGCUUGAUCUACUGGCAUUUGCCCUCAUUUUUUCAUCCCUCCCCUAGUUUCUCCCUUCCUCGUUCUGCAGCUUCUCCAUGGUCUGUCUCAGAUUGUAGGCUCCUUGAGAGCAGAGACCUGGGUGGCCGUCUGUCCUGGAUGCUUGAGUUGAGGUUCUUGCAUUGCAGGGGUUGGACUUCACGAUCCUCACGGUCCACUCCACCUCUUCAGUUCUAUGAUCAGCUCCUCCACACUUGCAACAGACAAGUAAGACCUCACAAUGGAACAACUGAAAUCAGGGGUAGUCAACCUUUCUAUAUCUACCGCCCACUAGUGCAUCUGUCUUGAUGGUAAAAUUUCCUUACCACCCACCAGUGCUUGAUAGAAGGAGGAUUCAGUGUUUGCUGUAGAACCCCCUACCGCCCACCUAGAAUCCUGAAACGCCCACUAGUGGGUGGUAGGGACCAGGUUGACAACCCCUGCUUUCAAUGCCUCCCGGGUUGUUUCCAUGAGAAGUUCCAGAGGAAGGCCCCUUGAGCAUAGCAGCUUCUCUUCUCAAGCACCAAUGUAAUCGUUUUGUCACCGAGAUAGCCCACGAUUGUUUUUAAUUAAACAGUGCCAUUGUUUCAGCUCUUUUGUCUACUCUUUCAUGUGCACCUUCAAAGAACAACAUUGAUUUCUGGGUAAUGUAAUUAACAAUGCUUUCUUUCCCUUCUCUUCUUUUUUUCCCCAUCUCCAAACCCAGUGUAUAUGAAAUUCUGCUGCUGAAAACCCAUCUCUCAAAGGAAAUUAAGCUGCUGCUGUUCAUCUCACCUCUGGCUCUCUCUCUCUCACACACACACACACAUACACACUUUCAACUUCACUUACAUGUGGGUCAGACGCAAGACCAAGCUAACCACGGACAACAUUAUUCAGCAUUUAGGCACGGCGGCGAGAAAAGUUAUUUGUUCUUUUUAAGUUCAAGAUUCUCAGUGCAAAAGCAAAAGCAAGCACAGCUGCUGUGUGAUCUCAGAGACAAUUCAUUUCUUUUUUAAGAGUUGCAUUGACAUCUUUCCCCCCCUGGGCUCCAAAGGAGUCUAGAUAAUACAACAUCUGGGGUAAUCAAUAGAACAAACCACAUUUUUUAAGAAUAAAGCACAUCAACAAUAUGAUCUAUAAUCAUAAAAGUCUUCAACAACCCAACUUAACUUUUCUACUAAAAUCUCAUGGAAGUCUGGGAAAUGGUCAUUAUUCACUCACAUGAGAUGGAGAAAAAUACAAGUCAUAGCCUUGAAAAUGCACAACUCAUCUUAGGACAAAGGAGGAGGAGGGAAGCAGUGGCGUAACAUGGGGGGACGAUGACGAUGACAAAGGGGCAGUUGCCCCAGGCACAAAAUUGUAAGGGAGUGCAAAAUUUCAACACCCGCUGCUGCCUCAAUACAGCUGUGCACUUCUGCCACUGGGCUUCUCCAUGCAAACCAGGAAGUGAGCUCUCCAGACAACGGUACAACUCUUCUUUUCUUAUCUCUGCAGCUGCAAUCUCCUGGGUGAUGCGGACGCCAUUAGGCAGUUGAAUGCACAUGCGGACUCCAGCUGCUUCCUUCCCUGCUAUCCCCCCUCCACGCUGCCCUAGGUGCUGGCAACCCACGCUACGCCACUGAGGGGAAGAGGCA
rnacentral:lncRNA from 1 species